rnacentral:lncRNA from 1 species
AGUAUGAAAGGAGACUGAAGUGAACAUCAUGAGAUAAGAUUCAAGGGGGAACUGAACUCAACCAGGAAGCUAGGAGGGAAAGAAGGAUAGAGGGGAGAGAAAGAGAUAAUCUAUCCGCAAAUCUAAUUUCUACUGACAAACAGCCACCAACCCACCUGAAUGACCAACAACCAUCAACCUCACCUCUCAGGUAGUGCCACCUCUGCUGAUUCAUGUUUGAUAUCCAAAUUCUACUGAACUGGACUGCUGGUGUAUCUGUGAAGUGUUUCUGAGUGGAUUGAGCUGUUGCCAUUGGCCUGUGAACUGAACUGCUGAUUUCCAGACAACACAGAUGAGAGUUGCUUCAAAGAACCCUUCCUAAACAGGUGACAGUUCAUGAAAGCUCCAUUCGUGGACGUCUACGCACAACUUGAUGGUCACUCAACAGAGCCAAGAAUCUCCUCUUGACAGUGCUGUUGAUACCAUACAGCAGCAGAGGCAGACCUGAUAGAUCUUCACUUGCUGACAUCCACUUCCUAACUUGCUGCCUCACCCUUUGACAAGCAUGAUGUCCCAGCCAGAAGAGGAUGUUCAUCUACUACCCACUUCAAAGUACUGAUGUAUGCUAAGGGUUCAAUAAACAUCUGAAAAUAUUCAUCGCUGA